UGCAGGUGAUGUAAGCGAAUAUUUGCUAUCUGAAUGGCAAUGUUGACAAAUUCAACCACCAAGAUCGCUGAUGCA